rnacentral:rRNA from 1 species
AUGGGCUGCCAUGAGGCAGGCUGGGGAUGGGCUGGCUUGCCAGGCCAUGACUGUGCUGUGCAUGCUGGCGAGCCACCUCAGUGCUCUUGUAUAAAACUGCUGCUUGGGGCGACCUGUUCCAGCAGGCGGUUGGCGGACAAGCCAACAAGCAAGAUGUCAACCAUGGACAAGGUGCUCCAUGUGCUUCUGAAGGAGGGGCUCACCGCCGCCAUGGACCCCGGGGAUGUUGCCUUGGAGAGGCUCUGGGUGGCCUGCAAGCAACCCUUACCCUCUGGCUUUGUUGCGGCUUUCUCGUCCCUCCUGGCGGCCACUGGUUUAGCUAAGGGGGCCAUUGGGCUUGAGAAAUUGCUGCUGGAGGCAGCCGCUGCCUGA